rnacentral:misc_RNA from 1 species
CAUGGCGGCGGCGAUGCU